AAUCCUAGAAUUGGACUAUACCACUUUUUAUGAGACUGUGUUCUACUGUGACUGGGUGAAGGUAGGCAGUGGAAUCAAAAUUUGUCCAGAUUCCAAUCUGGUUUUGGUAAAGUUGAACAGUAUGAGAAGUUCCAGUAAAAUAUAUGACGAACCGGAAAUUCUAGUUGAAGAGGCAAGCCAGGUUUUUUACUCCAAAGAUUUGAAAAGCUCUGAUCAGUGGGUUGUUAUUCCUUCACCAAAGGGGUUAACGAUAAAGGUAGACGAUCUUGAGAAGCCUAGUCCCGGCAGCUUUCAAAAUGUUCUUGUCGAUGAACCCCAUUUGGAUUGUUUGCUUAAUGUUUAUGGUGCCAAGAGGCCAAGAGUGGUGCCAAGAAGGAGAGCAUAGCCAGUGUAAUUUCUGAUGAAGAGCCUAGAAGCAUUUGCAUCAAACAGGAGCUGGUGAGUCCAUUAGGAGCAUGAAAUUUUGUCGCGACUUAACUAAAGUACAGAACACUACCUAAGUAACCGAAAGAUCGGGCUAUGGAUGUAUGGUCAUGGAGUGGCAGUAGCAAUUCUGACAUUCUACUUUACAUUCCUGCUAUAUCAUAAUAUUAAUACUACAAUCUCUUUUUGUUUUAGUUAUUGAUUAGUGACUCGAAAUCCUACAAUCUCUUUACAUAAUAUUAAUACUACAAUCUUUUUUAUGUGCA